CCCCCCCCCCCCCCCCCCCCCCCCCCCCCCCCCCCCCCCCCCCCCCCCCCCCCCCGUACACCGUACAUGAAGGCACGUGACCUCACUGUGUCGUACACCGUACAUGAAGGCACGUGUAAGUGACGGACGAUGUGAACGAACGCCGUACGAACACAUCACGAGUUGGAGCAAGUUGUGUUACACGGUCGAGUAAAAACACAGUCAGCCACAGUUUGGGUAAAUCGAGCGACUCGGCGAAGGAAGGAAAAGCACAGCUCGGGAUAAAUUCCGGCGAAGGGGAGGAGGGUGACGGAAAGCACGGCUCGGCCAGGGGCCAGGACACGGCAGGGCGGGGCACGGUGCGGAAAGACACGGCGGGAGAGGGAGAGACACGGUAAGAGCGUGGAAAUCACGCACAGAGGGUAAGACUUUAAUAUCGAGAGGGCAACGAUCGAGAGCGAAGAGGAAGAAGCACAAUGAGCGCACGGAAAGCACAGCAAGGAGGCUCGCUCGGCACGGCUCGAAGCCUCGAAAGUGAAGAUAUCACAUCCACAUACCCCACUAUGUCGAAUGUGCCCCAGCCGACACGCUCAUUCUCAGCGUGGCUGUCACAGCGGGGAAUGGCUCCACGAUUUGGUUGUGCAGUCGCACGCUAUCUGGGCAUCCGAGACCUUGCUGAUUUGCGUGCCUGUGCCGAGGAACCAACCAUUCGUGCAGAAUUUUUGGAUGCCGCACGACAGCGUCUCCCAUUCGCUUCAUAUGCCGCGCUCAGACGCCUCGUAAAGACUAUGGCUGUGCCAAUGCUGCACUCACCCAUUGAGACGUCACUUGGUCCGGGUGAGGUACGGCCAUUGGCUCCUGCACUGCUCGAAGCCAUCGUGGUGACCCUCAGCACGCUGAGCCAGGAGCUGUUGCAAGCGGCACACAGGUUUGCAGCAUUGGACCCAGGAUUGGAUUUAGGGGUGGAUAUGGGUUUUACAGAUGUUCAGGACACGGACAUUAAUCCCGCCUGUUCGACUGCUAUUCACGAUGAUGUGGAGGAGGAAGAGGAAAUGCUUGAGGAGUCAUCCCAGGGCCAUUACGCACCUGGUGUGUGUUGUGCAGAUCCCAUUGCAUCUGCAAAUAACAAAGAUCAUGGUGAGCAGACAUGGUCUGCAGACAGAGAGGGUUCCUGGGAGACAGUACAAGUGAAGAGAGAAGUCAACGGGGAAGCUGAUCCCCAGCCUGGUAACUCACGAAUGAUAGAUUAUUAGACCAAUCAUCCAUGGUAAUUAGCUACCCUAUAGAUUUGAGUGUUUUGUGUUGGCAGUGCCAAAGGAGGUGGCAGAUGAGGAUGCUAAUACCGGUGGUGGUGGUGGUGGUGAUUGUAUUGGAAGUGGUGCUACCCUGGAGUGGAAGGUGGAUGUGGACUCGGGGGG
ensembl:lincRNA